CCUCUUUGUGUGACUGCUUCCCCGGCCUCACCCUGCUUCCCCGACUGCCUUACAAGUUUCUCAAGACAGCAUCUGUUUAGGAAUUGCUGGCUUGGGCGCUGGUUCUAGAGCACCUGGCCUCUGACAUCCCUUUUGGGUGCUGGCCCUUUAGGACCAAAGCGUGAGUCAAGAGCCUUGCUACUGAAAUUGGCCCACGGAUCAGCACCUCAGCAUCGCCUGGGAUCCCGCUAGCAUUGCAGAAUCCGGAGCCUCAGCUAGACCUGCUGAGCCUGCAUCUGGAGACUUGUUCUUGCCCACAAGGGAGCCACCAAUCCUGAAAAUGCCUGGGAGGUUAAUCCAGGGAGAUAGUAUCCCUCUCCCAGGGCAGGCAGCUCAUGGCCAAUGGCUGGCGAUAGUGGCUACAGAACCUGGUGGCUACAGAACCUGGCUUUUAACAAGACCCCAAAGAAGUUUGCAUGCACAUCAAAGUUUGAGAAGAACACACAGAACCUGGACAAGCUGAUUUCAAAGAUGCACAGCAGAGUGCUUUCCGUUUGGGUCUAAGAAGAAAACGAAACAAACACAACAGCCCCUGUAACUACAGAUGAAAGCCUCAGACGGAGAUGAGAGCUCCAUCAACUAAGAGAGGCAUUUGCUGAGAUCUGUACACUUCCUGCGAUCUCCAUCAGUAACACCCACGUACUUCCGGGCUUUGCCUCUACUGUCCGCCCUGCCCAGAAGACCACGCCUUGCGUCCCUGCCUUGGGCCUGGCUCACUUCCGCCUGUCCUCCAGCCUCAGCUCAGACGCCACCUCCUGUUACAGCCCGUCCCCUGGCCCCAGCAUCUCCUGCAUGUGCCAGUGGGUGGUGUGCUGCAGGCACUCCCACUCAGGCGCCUGCUUCGUUUUGCAUUUUUACCAACGCUACCUUCAGCAGCCGUGCACACGACAAGGACGCAGCGCGCGAACGGUUGUAGAUAACCGUCGCUGGUAAUAAGAAGCCAGCUUCCAUAGAUCCUGUACAGAAAGUCCUUCAGCAAUCCUCCAGCCUAUCCUUCCA